rnacentral:rRNA from 1 species
GACGUAGGAUGCAAGCGUUGUCCGGAUUUAUUGGGCGUAAAGAGUUCGUAGGUGGUUCGUUAAGUCUGAUGUUAAAGACCGGGGCUCAACUUCGGGACUGCAUUGGAUACUGGCGGACUUGAGUGUGGUAGGGGCAAUCGGAAUUCCAGGUGUAGCGGUGAAAUGCGCAGAUAUCAGGAGGAACACCGGUGGCGAAGGCGGAUCUCUGGGCCUUACCUGACGCUGAGGCGCGAAAGCUAGGGGAGCAAACAGG